rnacentral:rRNA from 1 species
CAGUCGCCACGGUAAUACGAAGGGUGCAAGCGUUAAUCGGAAUUACUGGGCGUAAAGCGUGCGUAGGCGGUGAGUUAAGUCUGCUGUGAAAUCCCCGGGCUCAACCUGGGAAUGGCAGUGGAUACUGGCUCGCUAGAGUGUGUCAGAGGAUGGUGGAAUUCCCGGUGUAGCGGUGAAAUGCGCAGAUAUGCGGAGGAACACCGAUGGCGAAGGCAGCCCCCUGGGCCAACACUGACGCUCAUGCACGAAAGCGUGGGGAGCAAACAGGAUUAGAUACCCCAGUAGUCCCUGUCUCUUAUAC